GGAGACAAACCCACCUAUUUUGGUUGGUGGUAGAAGGGCUCUUUCUCAUCCCUCCACUCCAAGAUGAGCAUGGUCCCACCCUGGGCCAGCAUAGGGAGGGUGCCGCUGGCCAUUAGAGGAACAGUGGCCGCACAGAAUGCCUGACCACUGCUCGGGCUAGCACAAUGUCCUCAACCUCUGUCCCUUAGUGUUUAUAAUUGCCAUCUGUUUUGUUCUGGGUAAGGAAGGCAAGAGCUAUAGGUAAAACUUCAAUAAUAUUAAAUGUGAAUGGAUUCUGAGCUCUCCCUGUGCCCCGGGUGGGCCAGACAGAGCGUUUUGCACUAAUGUGUCCCAUUGUGGACGUUGUGGGGAUCGUUUGCAGACAUGCAUGGCCAAUGACUGUACCUGCUUAGGGGAGGGGCACUCCCUCUGCAUCCUGAAUGUACUGCGAGGCAGGCGGGUGGCAGGCCUGGGCUCCGAGGGGCCUUCCAGAGUGCCUUAGCAUCUUUUGAUUAUUUUUUUCAAGGAAAACCAAUUUAAAAAACCAGACUCCCUCCUUUGUUUACAAGAUGACUAAUUCCAGAAUCGGGGCUGUCUUGUCCUGUCACGUGACCCUGACUUGUCCAGACCCUAUAGGUGAGAGCCUCUCAGCAUUUGUCAGAUGUCUACACCUCUGUUCCUAGCUUGACUACUAGCAAUAUGCACAUACUAUGUAGAGUCUAUUGUAGAAACUAUUGCUACAUCAGCAUCUUUGCCAGGACGACAGUCGGGACUGGAUAGGGUUGGAGCUACUGGGACAGAGCUGGAUCCAGCCAUGAGUCUUAUGUCCUCCCAGAGCAGACAAUAGUCCCUGAGGCAGCUGGGACGAAUACAGCAGGUCUGGGGCAAGGGACCAGAGACAGGGCUGAUAGUGUGAGCUUGGAGGUGCUGCCUGUCUGCCCGGCUGUCUCAGUACUUGAAUUCUGUAUUGUUUUCUAUACCAGUUGCUUCAGCUAACAUCUGAUUUGGUGUCUUACUUUGCCCUUGGAUGUAGAUGCAGCCAGUGAUGUAUGAAAGGCAAUUGAGGAGAGACUCUGAGGGGUCCUUUGUGGUGUGACUGCAGGUGUGGGCCUCGAAGAAAACUAGAUGUGUGGUGUUUGUUUAGAACCUAAAGGAAGGCAGAAAGGGGCUGUGAGAGCUGGCAAGCUGACAGGGCCAGUCCCCUCCAAGGGACUGUGGGGUGCCUGCUGCUACCUGCUUCAACAGCAGGACCUUCCCAAGCCCAGUGCAUGUUGUGCUCUGCCCCACUGUCCUCUGCUUGGGUUCCCUAAAGAUGGUGAUUCUUAGCUGACUUGGGGAAGAGCAGGUGGCCUAUCAACCAGCUGAAAACUCGAAAGACCCUGUUAGAACCUGCUUGCCGCAGAUCCCAGAUGGGAAUGGCGACAAGCACAUGAUCUGUCAGCUUUACGCACUUCACUUCGUGGAAAGGUGCUGCUGCUGGGUGGUUCUGCAUGUCAGGCAGCUCAGCCUAUGCUGCUAGAAGAAGGGCUCAGUACAAAGUGUUUCAAAAGUGGCAAAGGUGUUUGCUUUGUUUGUUUUGUUUUCCUAGAAAGGAAAAGGAUGCAGGAUCUAAAACCUUCUGAUUGAAUAGCCUCUGCUUGUGUCCCAUUGGUCCCCUCACUGCAAGCUCGAUUGUGAUUUUUAUGUCAAAGGAAGCCAAAAUUUGCAAUACUAUUUUUAGCAGACAAAAAGAUAACUCGGUAUAAAAUGUAUAAAUAUUUUUGACUUGAACAUUUUGGGUGUCUCUGGGUGCAAGAAGAACAUUAAUCCCUUCAGGGGGAUGUUUGGAGAACAGGACCGGAGGAAGGGGGUUGUUUUGAAGGCACUGUCCAGGGGUUAAAGUAGCAUCAUAAUUCAUGACUGUUAGGAAUUAAGUUAAUAAAGUCAGUGCUCCCCUACCUCUAAGGAGGCCUUCACAGAACCACUGAGCUAGAGCAGACACCACAUCUUGGCUUUCUUUUUAGGGAGGAGGAGGCUUUGGUUUUUGGUUUCUUUUGGUUUCCUUUUGUUUUGUCCCUCCAGCAUCCUCCUCUCUCUGUGCUGUGACCCCCGUAGUGACAAGACUGUUACUUUGUAGCCAUGGCUGAAAACAUUGUAUCUAUAACAACAACAAAAAAUAAAACAAACAAACACAGCUAUGUCCGCAAGCCGACCAGGGAAACCCUAGAGCUUUGAGCCUGUGCUCAGAGCUGUUUCAGAAGUGGAAAUCCAUGACAAAAGGAUGUUCUCGUUAACUGUAAGGCGCUUUGUAAAGUUCACAUUUACAGAAUAAUAAAGUCAAUUCAAACCCAGCUUUCCUGACCUUUGCUUGACCAGUGGGAAUGGGGACACAGUAUUGGAGAGAAGUUGGGAAGAGAUUUAGCUGUGGAAGAACAUGGGGCUGCCUGUCCCCAAAAAGUCGCUAUUUGAGAGAGAUAUGAGGGUGCCACUGCCUAGACUGAGUAAUGGUUUUAUUCAAUGUAUUGUCUACAAAAUGGCUCUUCCUCUUCAUCUGGCCCACCUGCCCUCCCUCCUUUGGAUGUGUGGCUCCCUAUGUCCCCUCCCCUUGGCCAGGCCUGCCCCCAAGUGGGCAGAGGGACAAUUGCAUGUGGGUGGAGCUUAUCUGGGCUGCACUGGGGUUCUGGGUUUAGGCCUGGCAGCUGUUCUUCCCUUGCCGUGGGUGAGCAGGCUUUAACAUGAGUCUCGGAAGAGGGUCCUGGAAGCAGCCUCUGGGGUCUUACCCUGAACCCUGACUCUGUACGUCCCAUUACUAAAGAUGACUCCCUUCUGAACCUUAUUGCUCAUGCUUUUGCAGCCCGUGAGGGGUUUCCCCAGGGCCACUUUUGGUUACCUGAUGGGAUCCCAAUCUCUGGCUCCCUUUCUAUGCUUCAUACUACCUGCUCUGUGGAGUUCGAGAUAGAUUCCCUAACUCACCUGUGUUUGUUUGUUUUUGUCUCAUCUGGAGCUAGUAGGUCUGUGCCAUGUAUAUGUCCCCAGAAAAAGGUGUCCUGGAGCCCUGUCCAGCACAGCAUGGUCACUCUCCUCCUCCCCCUCCUCUCCUUCUUCCUCUUCCUUUCUUCGUCUUCCUUCUCUCUCUCCCCCACCCCUUUUCUGAGACAGGGUUUCUCUGUGCAGCCUCAGCUCUCCUGGAACUCACUCUGUAGACCAGACUGGCCUUGAGCUUAGAAAUCCACCUGCCUCUGCCUCCCGAGUGCUGGGAUUAAAGUUGUCCACCAUCACCCAGCUCAAUCGCCCUCUUAAAGGAGUGUUUGAGGUAGGAUACUGGUUUAGGCUCAUCCAGAGCCAUCUCCUAUGGGAGCCUCAAUGCUCCCACCCUGUCCCCAUCCAAAUGCUCAAAGAACAAGGACACAGGUGUGAGAGGUGAGCAUUAAGCCCCCCCCCUUUUACAUCCUACCACCAACUCCAGCUUGGUCCAGAGUCAAUGGAUCCAUGCCCACAUUCAGGGGAGGGGCAGGGUGGGGGAACAAUAGAGACACAUCCCUUUUCAGGACAUAUUACCCUGGCUCUAAAAUCCCUACCUCUGCAGCCACCACCCCCACCUAGCCUUCAUCCACUCAGGCUGGAUUCUUAGCCAUGCACUUUGACUGUUAAGGAACCAGAAAGGGCAUAGGCCAGAAGGCCCCAAGGCCUGUGGGGGUCAGGGAGUAUUGAUGCAAGACAGGUUUUGUCUUAACAGGAACUUUGAAAUUGGUCACUCAGUGCAUGUCAAAUGCCAGAGUCAUUCUGGCUUUCCAAGAAAGAGAAGGCUGUGAAGUGCCACUAGGGGUUUGACCCUGUGACCUGGAAGCCUCUGACAAAAUCUGCUAUGCUCAGGAAAUGUGUAUCAGUGUCUUGCGUGUGUGCACAGCCCCUUCCAUCCCUUGUCCUUACCCUUUUAAGGAGGAAGCUGGUGUUUUAGCAGGUUCUUGGCUUUGCCCGGCCUUUUGGUCCAAGCAGAAGGUGGGCUUGGGGGACAUGAUAGACCCAGUUAAGUCCUUAAGUCCCAUACUCCUGCAUUGCUCACAGGAGGGCCAGCCCUUCCCUACCAGUCUAAGAGGGACCUUAAUGUGGCUUUGGACAGAGCCAUCCCUACCAAGGCGAAAGGAUUCUCGCUGCCAUUACAACUCUGCCUGUGAAAGGUCAUGGGCCACUUAUCGAGGGACCUUCACAAACGAGAGGAAAGUGAGGAGAUGGGAGGGUAUGAAUGGCUUUAAUCCCAGCAAAGGCAGGCAGGUCUCUGUGAGUAUGAGGCCAGCCUGGUCUCCAGAGACUGUUCCAAGAUGGCUAGGACUCAGAGAAACC
rnacentral:lncRNA from 1 species